AUUUGAAUAAAUAAAUACAUAAAUAAAUACUUAACACAUUUUCUCUGUGAUAUUCCACUUCUGCUUUCUCUGGACAAUUCAUCAGAUUCAAUCUAAAAAGUGGAGGGGGAAAAUACAACACUGCAACAGCUCUGCUGUUCCUUUGCUACUGAUUGCUCUCUGUUCAGGCACAGUACAAGACUCGAGCAUCAGAGAGAAAAGAGCUGAAUUAAGGAACGAGCUACUCUGGCAUCUGCUCCUGCUGCCCAACUGUAUGGCAGGGCAAAAGUCCUGCUAUAGCACUUCUGGCUGCUCGAGGCAGUUCCAGGAGUUGGACUCUACAAUCUUUUUGGGUCUCUUACAACACAGCAUAUUCAAUGCUCCUAUGAUUCUAAGAACCGUGCCUGGACAGCAAGAGGGUCUGCAUAAGCCACUGAGGCAGCAAGAGGCAGAGCAUGCCUUUUCACGCUCCUACAGUCUCACUGUGAAGAAGAAUCUGAAGCAAAAUGCCUUCCAAAGAAUUGUUCAGGGCACUGUGUAGAUUACCAGCAGAAGGACAGACCUACUGGGGAAUCUGGGAAUCAAUCAGCUUUGGUUUUCAUGCCAGCAUGUGACAUAUUAUUUAGUAUAAUUUCUUGGGCUGAAGACCAGAGAUACCUUUAUUAAACCAACCUUGUGAACUUUCCUGAGAAUGCUGA
ensembl:lncRNA